rnacentral:rRNA from 1 species
AUUGAACGCUGGCGGCAUGCCUUACACAUGCAAGUCGAACGGCAGCAUGGAGAGCUUGCUCUCUGAUGGCGAGUGGCGAACGGGUGAGUAAUGCAUCGGAACGUACCGUGUAAUGGGGGAUAACGUAGCGAAAGUUACGCUAAUACCGCAUACGACCUGAGGGUGAAAGCAGGGGAUCGCAAGACCUUGCGUUAUACGAGCGGCCGAUGUCAGAUUAGCUAGUUGGUGAGGUAAAGGCUCACCAAGGCGACGAUCUGUAGCGGGUCUGAGAGGAUGAUCCGCCACACUGGGACUGGGACACGGCCCGGACUCCUACGGGAGGCAGCAGUGGGGAAUUUUGGACAAUGGGGGCAACCCUGAUCCAGCCAUGCCGCGUGAGUGAAGUAGGCCUUCGGGUUGUAAAGCUCUUUCGGCCGGGAAGAAAUCGCACAGGCUAAUACUCUGUGUGGAUGACGGUACCGGCAUAAGAAGCACCGGCUAACUACGUGCCAGCCGCCGCGGUAA